CUGUCCAAAGGCAGAGUUCCAUUGUGACACUCCAGAAUGCUGUCCUUUGAAACCAUUUGAAAUGAAAGACAGGACAUAGAGUGAACAUGGGAUUUAGGAAAGUGGAGGACUAUGAGAAAGACAAUUUUGGUCAGAGUCUUAUUCAAGAAUGGGAACUUGGAAGAACAUGUGGAAAUAAAU
ensembl:lncRNA novel transcript